UCGGGCAAUGGAUGAAGGCGUAUGAACCCAAGGCAGCAAAGGAACGGAAGCGUCAUUGCAGGUGGAGGAGAAAUCGAUCACCAACUUAGAUUUGGGGGGUUUCGACCCUUGGUUCCUUGCUCGUCGCAGGCCAAAAAGGGGACCGAGGGUGGUUUCGGCGAUUUCAGAUCGCAGUAAGGGAGGAGUCUCUGGGUCGGCUAGAACGAAGGAAGAAGAAGAAUGGAGCAGCAAACUGCCGUCGAUUCUCAAUGGGUGAAGCUGUGAGGAGGUGAGCGCCUCCGACGUUCGAAUGGUCCGAAGAAAAGAGAAGGGACGAAACAGCGAGGCUGCUCUCCUUCUCCGAUGUUGAGGUGUGAAGAAGGGAAAGGGAGGCCAGAAGGGUUUCUUCGGUCUCGGUAGGUGCAGCAAGGGCUGCUCAAGCAGUUCCCAGCUGUUUCUCCUUCGAUUCCGGUAGCGGAUGCGAAGGGGAGGAGGACAUUUGGCCCGAUGGAACAAGGCAAGUAGAAACAGCAGCUCCGGUGGGGGUUUUUGGCAGCGGUGCUCGAUAGAAGAAGAACGAAGCUGCGGUGGUCGACCGAAGUGCAGAUCGGAGUUGUAGGGCGGCAAUGGGACGCCUCGGGUUGUGGCAGUCGGCGUUUCCGACUGCUUUUUCGAGGUGUACAUGAGAUCAAGAACAAAGUGUUCUUGGCUGAAAAACAAAGGUGUAGGCAGAAGGGUCGAUCAACGUGGGGUGUUUGUUUGACAGUAAUUGAUAAAUGGAAUGGACGAUUGUGUUGCUUGAUUUUAUCAUUAUUAGUUUGUAGUUGAGUUUGAGUGUUCACUUUAGCAUUGUACAAGUUUUGUUUGAGUGUAAUUGUUAGAUAA